rnacentral:rRNA from 1 species
GGACGAACGCUGGCGGCGUGCCUAAUACAUGCAAGUAGAACGCUGAAGGAGGAGCUUGCUCUUCUGGAUGAGUUGCGAACGGGUGAGUAACGCGUAGGUAACCUGCCUGGUAGCGGGGGAUAACUAUUGGAAACGAUAGCUAAUACCGCAUAAGAGUAGAUGUUGCAUGACAUUUGCUUAAAAGGUGCAAUUGCAUCACUACCAGAUGGACCUGCGUUGUAUUAGCUAGUUGGUGGGGUAACGGCUCACCAAGGCGACGAUACAUAGCCGACCUGAGAGGGUGAUCGGCCACACUGGGACUGAGACACGGCCCAGACUCCUACGGGAGGCAGCAGUAGGGAAUCUUCGGCAAUGGACGGAAGUCUGACCGAGCAACGCCGCGUGAGUGAAGAAGGUUUUCGGAUCGUAAAGCUCUGUUGUAAGAGAAGAACGAGUGUGAGAGUGGAAAGUUCACACUGUGACGGUAUCUUACCAGAAAGGGACGGCUAACUACGUG